GAAGCAAGUCACGGAAACCAGAAUUUAUCUUCCCUAAGUUUCCAGGAACCCAUCGACAACAGCGAGGACUAACUGUGCUACUAUGGAAUGUGCUCCAGGAUAUACGUUUAAAAAGGUCUGCUUAUUGUCCUCUUUCCAUCAACCAGCUUCAUUAUUUUACGAAUUACUCAAAUGGCAUCUCUAAUCUCCAGCCUAUAUAGUCACCUGGAACCAGCACCCACCACUAAAAGGUAAUUCUUUUUGUUUCUUUAUUUUACUUGAAGAGCCUCCUGAUUGUUCCAAUUCAUCUUUC
rnacentral:lncRNA from 13 species